GGGUAGUUUGACUGGGGCGGUCUCCUCCCAAAGAGUAACGGAGGAGCACGAAGGUUAGCUAAUCCUGGUCGGACAUCAGGAGGUUAGUGCAAUGGCAUAAGCUAGCUUGACUGCGAGCGUGACGGCGCGAGCAGGUGCGAAAGCAGGUCAUAGUGAUCCGGUGGUUCUGAAUGGAAGGGCCAUCGCUCAACGGAUAAAAGGUACUCCGGGGAUAACAGGCUGAUACCGCCCAAGAGUUCAUAUCGACGGCGGUGUUUGGCACCUCGAUGUCGGCUCAUCACAUCCUGGGGCUGAAGUAGGUCCCAAGGGUAUGGCUGUUCGCCAUUUAAAGUGGUACGCGAGCUGGGUUUAGAACGUCGUGAGACAGUUCGGUCCCUAUCUGCCGUGGGCGCUGGAGAAUUGAGGGGGGCUGCUCCUAGUACGAGAGGACCGGAGUGGACGCAUCACUGGUGUUCGGGUUGUCAUGCCAAUGGCAUUGCCCGGUAGCUAAAUGCGGAAGAGAUAAGUGCUGAAAGCAUCUAAGCACGAAACUUGCCCCGAGAUGAGUUCUCCCUGAGACUUUAAGUCUCCUGAAGGAACGUUAAAGACGAUGACGUUGAUAGGUCGGGUGUGUAAGCGUAGCGAUACGUUGAGCUAACCGAUACUAAUGAACCGUGAGG
rnacentral:rRNA from 1 species